UACGUAGGAGGCAAGCGUUGUCCGGAAUUACUGGGCGUAAAGCGCGUGUAGGUGGUGGGACAAGUCUGCUGUGAAAGCGCCUGGCUUAACCGGGCGAGGUCGGCGGAAACUGUCCGACUCGAGGACGGUAGGGGGGGCUGGAACUUCCGGUGGAGCGGUGAAAUGCGUUGAGAUCGGAAGGAACGCCCGUGGCGAAAGCGAGCCCCUGGACGUCUACUGACGCUGAGACGCGAAAGCCAGGGGAGCGAACGGG
rnacentral:rRNA from 1 species